AAUCUUCCACAAUGGGCGAAAGCCUGCCGGCGCAACGCCGCGUGAGUGAAGAAGGUUUUCGGUUCGUAAAACUCUGUUGUAAGGGAAGAACAAGUACAGUCGCAACUGGCUGUACCUUGACGGCCCCUUAUUAGACAGCCACCGUACACUACGUGCUCGCAGCCGCGGUAAUACGUAGGUGUCAAGCGUUGUCCGGAAUUAUUGGGCGUAAAGCGCGCGCAGGCGGUCCUUUAAGUCUGAUGUGAAAGCCCGCGGCUCAACCGUGGAGGGUCAUUGGAAACUGGGGGACUUGAGUGCAGAAGAGGAAAGUGGAAUUCCAAGUGUAGCGGUGAAAUGCGUAGAGAUUUGGAGGAACACCAGUGGCGAAGGCGACUUUCUGGUCUGUAACUGACGCUGAGGCGCGAAAGCGUGGGGAGCAAACA
rnacentral:rRNA from 1 species